UACAGAGGAGCCAAGCGUUGUCCGGAUUGACUGGGCGUAAAGCGCACGCAGGCGGCACCGCGCGUGGGGUGUGAAAUCUGGCCGCUUAACGGCCAGGCGCCAUCCCAUACGGCGGAGCUGGAGUGAUGCAGAGGUCGGUGGAAUUGCCGGUGUAGUGGUGAAAUGCGUAGAUAUCUGGAGGAACACCGGUGGCGAAGGCGGCAUCCUGGACCGACACUGACGCUGAGGAGCGAAAGCCAGGGGAGCAAACGGG
rnacentral:rRNA from 1 species